UACGAAGGGGGCUAGCGUUGCUCGGAAUCACUGGGCGUAAAGGGUGCGUAGGCGGGUCUUUAAGUCAGAGGUGAAAUCCUGGAGCUCAACUCCAGAACUGCCUUUGAUACUGAGGAUCUUGAGUUCGGGAGAGGUGAGUGGAACUGCGAGUGUAGAGGUGAAAUGCGCAGAUAUCAGGAAGAACACCCGUGGCUAAGGCGGCUCUCUAGUACGGUACUGACGCUGAGACGCGAAAGCGUGGGGAGCGAACAGG
rnacentral:rRNA from 1 species